UACAGAGGGGGCAAGCGUUGUUCGGAAUUACUGGGCGUAAAGGGCGCGUAGGCGGCCUGUUAAGUCGGACGUGAAAUCCCCGGGCUCAACCCGGGAACUGCGUCCGAUACUGGCAGGCUUGAAUCCGGGAGAGGGAUGUGGAAUUCCAGGUGUAGCGGUGAAAUGCGUAGAUAUCUGGAGGAACACCGGUGGCGAAGGCGGCAUCCUGGACCGGUAUUGACGCUGAGGCGCGAAAGCCAGGGGA
rnacentral:rRNA from 1 species